rnacentral:rRNA from 1 species
GCAGUCGCCACGGGAAUACAGAGGGUGCGAGCGUUAAUCGGAUUUACUGGGCGUAAAGCGUGCGUAGGCGGCUUCUUAAGUCGGAUGUGAAAUCCCUGAGCUUAACUUAGGAAUUGCAUUCGAUACUGGGAAGCUAGAGUAUGGGAGAGGAUGGUAGAAUUCCAGGUGUAGCGGUUAAAUGCGUAGAGAUCUGGAGUAAUACCGAUGGCGAAGGCAGCCAUCUGGCCUAAUACUGACGCUGAGGUACGAAAGCAUGGGGAGCAAACAGGAUUAGAUACCCGGGUAGUCCCUGUCUCUUAUAA